rnacentral:rRNA from 1 species
CCUACGGGAGGCAGCAGUGAGGAAUAUUGGUCAAUGGGCGGGAGCCUGAACCAGCCAAGUCGCGUGAGGGAAGACGGUCCUAUGGAUUGUAAACCUCUUUAGGCGGGGAGCAAUGCCGGGCACGUGUGCCCGGAGGGAGAGUACCCGCAGAAUAAGCAUCGGCUAACUCCGUCCCAGCAGCCGCGGUAAUACGGAGGAGGCGAGCGUUAUCCGGAUUUAUUGGGUUUACAGGGUGCGUAGGCGGAAUUUUAAUUCAGCGGUAAAAUGUCCGGGCUCAACCCGGGCCGGCCGUUGAAACUGGGGAUCUUGAGUGGGCGAGAAGUAUGCGGAAUGCGUGGUGUAGCGGUGAAAUGCAUAGAUAUCACGCAGAACUCCGAUUGCGAAGGCAGCAUACCGGCGCCCGACUGACGCUGAGGCACGAAAGCGUGGGGAUCGAACAGGAUUAGAUACCCGGGUAGUC